GAUGAACUCUAGCGAUAGGCCUAACACAUGCAAGUCGAGGGGCAUCACGGAGUAGCAAUACUUUGGUGGCGACCGGCGCACGGGUGAGUAACGCGUAUGCAAUCUACCUACAACAGGGGGAUAACCCGGAGAAAUCCGGACUAAUACCGCAUAACACAGGGGUCCCGCAUGGGAAUAUUUGUUAAAGAUUUAUCGGUUGUAGAUGAGCAUGCGUUCCAUUAGGUAGUUGGUGAGGUAACGGCCCACCAAGCCUGCGAUGGAUAGGGGAACUGAGAGGUUUGUCCCCCACACUGGAACUGAGACACGGACCAGACUCCUACGGGAGGCAGCAGUGAGGAAUAUUGGUCAAUGGGCGAGAGCCUGAACCAGCCAAAUCGCGUGAAGGAAGACUGCCUUAUGGGUUGUAAACUUCUUUUGUACAGGAAUAAAAAGAGGGACGUGUCCUUCAUUGCAUGUACUGUACGAAUAAGCAUCGGCUAACUCCGUGCCAGCCGCCGCAGUAA
rnacentral:rRNA from 1 species